rnacentral:rRNA from 1 species
AACGAACGCUGGCGGCAUGCCUAACACAUGCAAGUCGAACGAAGCCUUCGGGCUUAGUGGCGCACGGGUGCGUAACGCGUGGGAAUCUGCCCCUUGCUUCGGAAUAACAGUUAGAAAUGACUGCUAAUACCGGAUGAAGUCUUCGGACCAAAGAUUUAUCGGCAAGGGAUGAGCCCGCGUAGGAUUAGGUAGUUGGUGGGGUAAAGGCCUACCAAGCCGACGAUCCUUAGCUGGUCUGAGAGGAGGAUCAGCCACACUGGGACUGAGACACGGCCCAGACUCCUACGGGAGGCAGCAGUGGGGAAUAUUGGACAAUGGACGCAAGUCUGAUCCAGCAAUGCCGCGUGAGUGAUGAAGGCCUUAGGGUUGUAAAGCUCUUUUACCAGGGAUGAUAAUGACAGUACCUGGAGAAUAAGCUCCGGCUAACUCCGUG